GGGUGGUUCAGUUCUGCCUCACAGGGGCCCUGCCAAAAGCCAUCCAGUGGCUUCCAUUGCCCUUAGGGAGAAGGCCAGAAUCCUUCCCGCAGCUGCCGAGGCCCUGCCGGUCUUCCUCAGAGGAUGUUUCUCCAACCUCUGCUUCAGAGAAUUUGGUGCACUUGUGAGUUGAUCUCCGUGGUGACUGAAUAAGGCCUGUCUGCCCCCUAGACCGUGAGCCCAUGACGGCGGGACUUGCCCUUAAUAAAUGCAGCAUUUGCAGGAUAAACAGGGAUGCACAGAGGUGGUGGGUUCCCUGCCUCCCUUCAAAGUCCCACAGGGCUCCCUAGAUUCUUCCUGGGGACCGCACCCUGGAAACCAAGAGGCAGCUGGAAGCCAGGAGAGGGGGUGAGCAGCCCGCCGGGCCUUGCAGCUGGAGGUCGUGUCUCCUAGGAGGAGCCUAUCACUGGCUGGUCGAUGUGGCCACUGAGGCACUGAGAAUAAAGGGACCUGUCCAAGGGAGGCAUCCAGAGCUGGAACGGGAGCAGCCAGAGCCUUGUCACGUUCCCGGAAACAGCCAGCCUCCGUGGGGCAGCCUGGCCUCUGGUCCCUUUCUUGCUGGAAACCACCUCCUGGUGGACCUCCAGGCUGUCCACCUGAGACGACCAAUCAGGCAGAGGAAGAGGGGAAGACACAGAGCCUCUUGACCUGGAACUCCGAGGAACACCUGCUCUCUGCAUCACUUCAGCAUUAUCCACAAUAGCCAAAAAGCAAAACAGCCCAAAUGUUCCCCGAUGGAUGAACGGAUAAACAAAAUGGAGGAUAUACAUACAAGGGAAUAUUAUUCAGCCUAAAAAAGGAAGAAAAUUCUGGCACGUGCUACAACAUGGAUGAAUCUUGAGGACUCUAUGACUGCAGAGCUGCUGAGAAAGAUCUCAUCUGUUCACAGUCUACCCGCAAAAUACACAGGCCCUGGGCUGUCUGGAGUGCCCAUUUCCUGCCCUGUGGAGAUCCCUGGACUCACGGAGAAAAGUGGCCGCUAUAGCAUGUGGGUGAGUAGCCCUUGCUGCCCCAGCAGGAAAGAGCAAAAGGACACGUCAAUGGAAAGGCUCGUCAGUUCUGUGGGUAAGCCUGUCGCUUUGUGACUGCAUGAGCCAGUGGUUGCUAGGUUACCUCUGCCCCACAACUCCAGAAGCCCGGCACCCCUCUCCUCACCCCCAUCCAGCUCCUCUUACCCUUCCUGGAGGGUCAGGAAGGCUCGCUCGAGGACCUGCUUGCCCUCCGUCCAAGCUCCCUUUCUAUCUCCCAUUCAGUGCUUUCAAUGGGGACCAAGGGAGAAAAUGAGAAUCAGGGGCUGGUUUCAGCCAGCGAGCAUCAGGCAGAGAGAGAAAACCUGGCAAAAGAGUUCGGUUGGGCUGGGUGCCAGCUCUGUCAGCCUGACCGGGCUGUCUGCCACCACGGAGGGGGUCUGUCUCCAUGCGUCCUAUUUCUGGGGAUUGAUUGGCAGAGAGCUGUCUCUUAGAUGGAGAGGAGGAGGCCGCCAACAGGAUCCAAAGCGUCCCUGCAGCCCUACUCUAGGCAGGUUAGGUGGGUGGGAGGACCCUGGGCUUUCAGUCCGGCAGGGGUUUCCGUGGGAGUCUGACACUCCCUAGACGUGCCACCUUGAGUAAGUUGUCUGUACUGCCAGAGGUGUGGAACAGUGGUAAGAAUACUUGGUUCCGAUUCCAGCUCUACUUCCUAGCUAUGAGGCCUCAGACAAUUCACCUGAUGUCUCCGAGCCUCAGUUCCUCUGUCUCUGAAACGGAGAUGAUACUUGCACUUAUUCUCACGGGAGUUUUGAGAUUGCAUGACGUAAUGCACAUGAAGGUGUUUAGAAUAGUGCUUGACACCAAGUAUGAUAACUUAUGUUAUUACCCUCUCUGAGCCAAUACAGUGGGGUACCCUCACCUACUUCUCAGGUUGUUCUGAAGGACAAACAAACUAAUAGAAGCGAAGCACCUAGUCAUGUGCCUGGUGCACAAGAGGUGCUCAAAAGUGGUAAUAAUCAUCACUGUGAUUGGUAUCUUUUUUUUUUUAAUUGAAGUAUAGAUGAUCUGUAAUUGGUAUCUUGGUGGAGGGGAGAUGGAGGGGGAUGGGAUGAGUCCUGAGCCUGAGAACUACCAUGGGCAGUUUACUUUGUUUCUCUGAGGCUCAACUUGGACCGCUGAAACAGGGGACCAGGAUAAUCCUUUGUCCACAGGGCUGACGUGAGAUCAGAGGCUGUGAGGGGUGUCCACAGAGUCUGUAAACAGUGCAAGGGUUUGCAGACGAUGCUUGGUGCCGUCCUAGGAGUGAGGCUGCUGGGCCUCCGAACGGGUGGGGGUGGGCCUAGUCGAGGGUCUUCCUUCUCGGCACCCCUGGCUUCAUAUCAGUGGCCCAAGGCUUCUAGACUCUGUGUCCUCUGCUGGGGAGGAAGAGCAGGAAGGAGGAUAGCUAGAGGCAAACCCAAGUUCUUCAAAAGUUCUGCCCCUCCCCACUGAGGGGUGGGGACACAAAGCACUGCAGUGCCCCAUUCAGGGGGGCCCUCUGAGCUUGGCCUUGCCUCCAGGGCUUUUCCAUCCACACGGGUCAGAAUGUUCUCCCUUCAGGCUCUGGCUUCUCCUGGGCUUGUCUCUGCAGGAAUGAGGUGACCCCUUUGAAACCAUUCUGAAAGCCCCGCUCUUGCAUGCUUCUGGGAAUCCUGAUGGCUACUAUGACAAAUAAGACUGGAUUUGAAAGGAGAGAGAGCUUUCUCCCCUCCUGCCAGCCCCGCUGUGCUGCUUUCAGCUCACCUGGGGGAUUUCCCACAAUGUGACCUGACUCAGCCGAGAAUAAAACCCACUCAUCCUCCCCUUGCACCUCUUACCCCUACCACUGUGUUGUUUAAAACUGAACACCGGGCCUCCGUGCACAUUGCCGCUUUGGGAUUGAAGGGGGUACCGUGUGGAAUGCCCUCGACACUGGUUUAUAAGGUUUAUGAGAGAAUUGAGAGGAGACCCUUCUGACUGCUCUUUACGGAGCGUCAGAAAGAGGAGAGAGAUUCUGUCUGCCUGUAAAUGGUUUGAAGUACAGUCCUCCUGCUGGGAUGCGUCAGUUAUAAGAGAAGCACUAUAAAAUUUUAUGGAAUACUUCUUAUGUGCCAGGCACUGUGCUAAUCCUUUUUUUUUUUUUUUUUUUUUUUUUUGGCGGUACGCGGGCCUCUCACUGUUGUGGCCUCUCCCGUUGCGGAGCACAGGCUCCGGACACGCAGGCUCAGCGGCCAUGGCUCACGGGCCCAGCCGCUCCGCGGCAUGUGGGAUCUUCCCGGACCGGGGCACGAACCCGUGUCCCCUGCAUCGGCAGGCGGACUCUCAACCACUGCGCCACCAGGGAAGCCCCAAAAUGCAGUCUUUUGAUGGAGAGAAAUUUCUAAUUUUAACUUAGCCCAGUUGAUUAAUUUUGUCCUUAGUGAUGAAUGGUGUUUGUGUCCUACUUAAGAGAUCUUUGCCUACCCAAAGUUAUGAAGAUAUUUUUCACAUUAUUUUCUAGAAAGUUUACUAUCUUUUCACAUUUAGAGCUAUGAUCAGUCUGGAAUUGGUUUUUGUGUAAGGUGUAAGAUAGGCGUCAAGAGCCAUAUUUUUUCCCCUACAAAUAUCUAUUUGACCAGCACCAUUUUUAAAAACACUGUCUUUGACUUGCUUCUCUCUGGUAUCACCUUUAUCAAAAUUCAAGUGUCCAUAUACGUGUGGGUCUGUCUCUGGACUCGUUCUUUUCGAGCGCACUAUGGGUCUAGCAUUCUGCCAAUACUACACUCUCUUAGUAACUGUAGUUUUAAAUACAUCUUGAUAUCUAGUGGUAUAAAACUUCAUUGGAGAAAACUAUUUUUUUCCUCCAUUCUCAAUACUUCUGACACCAGAUGUAUGGGGUUUUUCCCACACCGAGCAUUUCCCCAUUUCAGCAGGAACCAACUGGGUGUCCUACAAGUUUAACUUAAUUCUGACACUGUCUGCCUGAAGACAGCAUCAGACCCCACAGGUUAAGGGCCCAGUCCCACAAGGCUGCCCCCAUUUCAGACACUGAAACUGAGAGUCCCGCUAAAACUAAGUUCCCUUACUGAGUUGAUGAUUAAUCUCUCAAUCCAAAACUUUAUUCCCUUUCUUGUUCCCUCUGACCUCAAUCCUGUGCUAACUGAACACUCAUCGACCAGGGUCAGAUGACUAAAAUUGCUGUUGUUGAUAACAUGAUAACAUCGUUAAUGUACUCAGGUUGCUACUAUAGAUAUCAUCAUUAACGAACAAACCCAGAUUGUCUCUCCAGGGCAAGGUGAGAUAACAGGCCCUUGAGCCAUGGACCACCUGGCCAGAGAAUCCAAAACCAGAGACAUCCUGAGCCCCGGAACCUGAAUGUCACAGAAAUGUCACCUGAUGAUGAUUAAUCCCAGCCUCUUCGUUCUUACCCUUCAAAACAUCCCUCACUCAAAGACCAAAUGGAGUGGGCAUGAGACUUGUCUCCCACUCCCUUGCUGGGUGUGAUGCAAUAAAACCCUUACUUUGCUGCCAACACCUGCUGUCAGAAUUUGGCUUUCUGUGGCCGCAGGCACAUGAGCCCUUGUUGGUAACAACACCAGUCACAAGUCCAAGUUGUCAUCUGUAUUUCUUUUUUUUUUUUUUAACAUCUUUAUUGGGGUAUAAUUGCUUUACAAUGGUGUGUUAGUUUCUGCUUUAUAGAGUGAAUCAGUUAUUCAUAUACAUAUGUUCCCACACCUCUUCCCUCUUCCGUCUCCCUUCCUCCCACCCUCCCUAUCCCACCCCUCCAGGCUGUCACAAAGCACUGAGCUGAUCUCCCUGUGCUACUCGGCUGCUUCCCACUAGCUAUCUACCUUACGUUUGGUAGUGUAUACAUGUCUAUGCCUCUCUCUCGCUUUGUGUCAUCUGUAUUUCUGACUGACCAGUGUUAAAUUAGGGUUCUCACGAUCCCCUCCUCAGGUUUGAAAGUUUGCUACAAUGGCUCACAAAGCUCAGGUAAAUAUUUACCUAUGUCUACAGUUUAUUGUAAAGGGUUAUUAUAAAGGAUACAGAUGAACAGCCAGAUGGAGAGGUACCUAGGGCAAGAUCCCGUGUACAGGAGCAUCUGUCCCUUUGGAACUGGGGUGUGCCACUCCCAACAUGUGGACCUCUCACCAACCUGGAAGCUCUUCAAACACCAUCCUUCUGGGGUUUUAUGGAGGCUUCAGUAGGUAAGGGUGAUUGAUUAAAUCAUUGGCCAUUGGCGAUUGAGUCCACCACCAGCCCCAGGUCAGGGGGUUAGGGCUGAAAGGUUCCCCUGGCAACCAAAUAUUACCUCAGUAACAUAAAGUCAGGUGUGUGAUUGAAAGAGCCAGUUAUGAAUAACAAAAGACACCUUUAGCUGUCUCAUCCCUUAGGAAAUUCCAAGGGUUUUAGGAGCUAGGAAUGAAGAUGAAGACUAAAUGGAUACAUAUUUCUUAUGCUAAUUCACAAUAUUGCAGAUUUCCAGCUUUGUUUUUUAAGGUUGUCCUUACUCUUCUAGUUCCUUUGCCUUUCCAUACAAAUUUUAGAAUAAUUUAUCUGCAUCUACAAAAAUUUUUGAUGGGACUUUGUUUUUUUUAACUGAUUUAUUUUUCCUUCCAGUUUGUUUGAGAUAUGAUUGACAUACAGCACAGUACAAGUUUAAGGUGUACAGCAUAAUGAUUUGAUAUACAUACA